rnacentral:rRNA from 1 species
AUUGAACGCUGGCGGCAUGCUUUACACAUGCAAGUCGGACGGCAGCACAGAGAAGCUUGCUUCUUGGGUGGCGAGUGGCGAACGGGUGAGUAACAUAUCGGAACGUACCGAGCAGUGGGGGAUAACUAAUCGAAAGAUUAGCUAAUACCGCAUAUUUUCUGAGGCAGAAAGCAGGGGACCUUUGGGCCUUGCGCUGUUUGAGCGGCCGAUACCUGAUUAGCUAGUUGGUGGGGUAAAGGCCUACCAAGGCGACGAUCAGUAGCGGGUCUGAGAGGAUGAUCCGCCACACUGGGACUGAGACACGGCCCAGACUCCUACGGGAGGCAGCAGUGGGGAAUUUUGGACAAUGGGCGCAAGCCUGAUCCAGCCAUGCCGCGUGUCUGAAGAAGGCCUUCGGGUUGUAAAGGACUUUUGUCAGGGAAGAAAAGGGCUGGGUUAAUACCCCUGUCUGAUGACGGUACCUGAAGAAUAAGCACCGGCUAACUACGUG